CGAUGAGUAGGGCGGGACACGUGGUAUCCUGUCUGAAUAUGGGGGGACCAUCCUCCAAGGCUAAAUACUCCUGACUGACCGAUAGUGAACCAGUACCGUGAGGGAAAGGCGAAAAGAACCCCGGCGAGGGGAGUGAAAAAGAACCUGAAACCGUGUACGUACAAGCAGUGGGAGCACGCUUAGGCGUGUGACUGCGUACCUUUUGUAUAAUGGGUCAGCGACUUAUAUUCUGUAGCAAGGUUAACCGAAUAGGGGAGCCGAAGGGAAACCGAGUCUUAACUGGGCGUUAAGUUGCAGGGUAUAGACCCGAAACCCGGUGAUCUAGCCAUGGGCAGGUUGAAGGUUGGGUAACACUAACUGGAGGACCGAACCGACUAAUGUUGAAAAAUUAGCGGAUGACUUGUGGCUGGGGGUGAAAGGCCAAUCAAACCGGGAGAUAGCUGGUUCUCCCCGAAAGCUAUUUAGGUAGCGCCUCGUGAAUUCAUCUCCGGGGGUAGAGCACUGUUUCGGCAAGGGGGUCAUCCCGACUUACCAACCCGAUGCAAACUGCGAAUACCGGAGAAUGUUAUCACGGGAGACACACGGCGGGUGCUAACGUCCGUCGUGAAGAGGGAAACAACCCAGACCGCCAGCUAAGGUCCCAAAGUCAUGGUUAAGUGGGAAACGAUGUGGGAAGGCCCAGACAGCCAGGAUGUUGGCUUAGAAGCAGCCAUCAUUUAAAGAAAGCGUAAUAGCUCACUGGUCGAGUCGGCCUGCGCGGAAGAUGUAACGGGGCUAAACCAUGCACCGAAGCUGCGGCAGCGACGCUGAUGCGUUGUUGGGUAGGGGAGCGUUCUGUAAGCCUGUGAAGGUGUGCUGUGAGGCAUGCUGGAGGUAUCAGAAGUGCGAAUGCUGACAUAAGUAACGAUAAAGCGGGUGAAAAGCCCGCUCGCCGGAAGACCAAGGGUUCCUGUCCAACGUUAAUCGGGGCAGGGUGAGUCGACCCCUAAGGCGAGGCCGAAAGGCGUAGUCGAUGGGAAACAGGUUAAUAUUCCUGUACUUGGUGUUACUGCGAAGGGGGGACGGAGAAGGCUAUGUUGGCCGGGCGACGGUUGUCCCGGUUUAAGCGUGUAGGCUGGUUUUCCAGGCAAAUCCGGAAAAUCAAGGCUGAGGCGUGAUGACGAGGCACUACGGUGCUGAAGCAACAAAUGCCCUGCUUCCAGGAAAAGCCUCUAAGCAUCAGGUAACAUCAAAUCGUACCCCAAACCGACACAGGUGGUCAGGUAGAGAAUACCAAGGCGCUUGAGAGAACUCGGGUGAAGGAACUAGGCAAAAUGGUGCCGUAACUUCGGGAGAAGGCACGCUGAUAUGUAGGUGAAGCGACUUGCUCGUGGAGCUGAAAUCAGUCGAAGAUACCAGCUGGCUGCAACUGUUUAUUAAAAACACAGCACUGUGCAAACACGAAAGUGGACGUAUACGGUGUGACGCCUGCCCGGUGCCGGAAGGUUAAUUGAUGGGGUCAGCGCAAGCGAAGCUCUUGAUCGAAGCCCCGGUAAACGGCGGCCGUAACUAUAACGGUCCUAAGGUAGCGAAAUUCCUUGUCGGGUAAGUUCCGACCUGCACGAAUGGCGUAAUGAUGGCCAGGCUGUCUCCACCCGAGACUCAGUGAAAUUGAACUCGCUGUGAAGAUGCAGUGUACCCGCGGCAAGACGGAAAGACCCCGUGAACCUUUACUAUAGCUUGACACUGAACAUUGAGCCUUGAUGUGUAGGAUAGGUGGGAGGCUUUGAAGUGUGGACGCCAGUCUGCAUGGAGCCGGCCUUGAAAUACCACCCUUUAAUGUUUGAUGUUCUAACGUUGACCCGUGAUCCGGGUUGCGGACAGUGUCUGGUGGGUAGUUUGACUGGGGCGGUCUCCUCCUAAAGAGUAACGGAGGAGCACGAAGGUUGGCUAAUCCUGGUCGGACAUCAGGAGGUUAGUGCAAUGGCAUAAGCCAGCUUGACUGCGAGCGUGACGGCGCGAGCAGGUGCGAAAGCAGGUCAUAGUGAUCCGGUGGUUCUGAAUGGAAGGGCCAUCGCUCAACGGAUAAAAGGUACUCCGGGGAUAACAGGCUGAUACCGCCCAAGAGUUCAUAUCGACGGCGGUGUUUGGCACCUCGAUGUCGGCUCAUCACAUCCUGGGGCUGAAGUAGGUCCCAAGGGUAUGGCUGUUCGCCAUUUAAAGUGGUACGCGAGCUGGGUUUAGAACGUCGUGAGACAGUUCGGUCCCUAUCUGCCGUGGGCGCUGGAGAACUGAGGGGGGCUGCUCCUAGUACGAGAGGACCGGAGUGGACGCAUCACUGGUGUUCGGGUUGUCAUGCCAAUGGCACUGCCCGGUAGCUAAAUGCGGAAGAGAUAAGUGCUGAAAGCAUCUAAGCACGAAACUUGCCCCGAGAUGAGUUCUCCCUGACUCCUUGAGAGUCCUGAAGGAACGUUGAAGACGACGACGUUGAUAGGCCGGGUGUGUAAGCGCAGCGAUGCGUUGAGCUAACCGGUACUAAUGAACCGUGAGG
rnacentral:rRNA from 1 species